GUUUUUACUCUCAGUGUGUUCUGAGUGACAGUGUGUGUUAUCUCAGUGAGGGUUGUGCAUAGUGUUUGGCUGCACUGAGCCUGUUUUGAGCCAUGUGUUAAGAGUUAUGUUGCUUGGAGUGAGUUUUGCAGGUGAUGUGAACUGUUUAGCUCAGGUGACUGUUGGUAGUGAAGACUGUAGUUAGAGUUUUGCACAUGUAGUUCCAGUUGUGCUCACUGUCGUUUAGCAAUCGAAAAAAACUGUAAUAACCUUCUACUAAACAGCUGAGCAGGCACCCGACCAAUCAGCCUGCCAGAAAACCCAACCAACCACAACAUGGACCAAACUGGCCAGCCGAGCUGAAUCAAUACACUUGCCAAUGAGCAUGCCGGUCAAGGAGACCUGGAACAUGGCGAUUAACAAGCUAGCAGGUUAGCAAACAGGCAAUCCACCCUGAAACCAACGAGGGUGUGUUACAAGAUAAAGAACAAAGACAACAGUAAGUAAACGAGUGAAGAGGUACAGGAGAGUGAAAGUGAGAGAAGAGAGGGAGAGGUGGAUCUAACUAUCAUCCAAAGUCCAAAGAAGUGUCACUCCUUCAAAUCCUAAAUAGUCUCUUCUGUCCUUCGGUUGCAAAAUGACCUCAUACUGUCACGCAAUAAACUAACUCCAAUGUAAAAACAUCAUUGUGAAUGCAACUGUAAAAAACUACUGUCGUCGUAUGAAGAGCCAGAAGAGACAGUGGAGGUUAAACAAGUCAAACAAACAGGACCUUCAUCGUGUAGUGUUUGUGACACCAAACCAUUACUUAUUUGCAUCUGUUGCAUCUGUUGCUCAUUGUUCCAGGUCUUCUCUCAUCUGUUACCCUCCGUCUCUCCUGUCCCUCCGAGUUUCUCUUUUCUAUCUCAAAACAACUUCACAAGCGCUCAUAUUAUGUCUCUAUAUCUUCCUUUAUCCGUCUAUGUAAUACAUCAGCAUCCCAGAAAGAGGCAGCAGAUGCAGCAAAGUAAUUUAUCGAUGCACAGAAUAAAUAUUCCCCCCAUAAACACACCCGUCAUUAGCAUACCGGUGCCGUAUUUCCUUCUUUUCCUUCUUAUUCAAAUCUUACUGGGGCUGCAUGGACAGCAUCUGAAUUGCAAACGUGCACGCGCACACGCAAGUUCCGGCUGUCCCACUCCACCUACGCAACACACUUAUUUGCAUGAAUCAUAGAUAUGCACAUGCAUGUAUGCAUAAAGGGUUCGUUCAGUCAGGAAUACACAUGCAAACACCCAUCAAGUAAUUAGACAACUUUCUUUUUGCAUGAGACAAUCUAGCCUUUCUAAUUGUCUCCUUGGUUAUUGUGCAGAUUUCUCAUUAAACGGAUCGUUCAGUCACGCGACCGGCAUGGACAAACCCAGCUGGCGAUUCAAGGGGGUCGAUGGAUAAACAUCGCAAAGAGUUCGCCUCCAAUGCCGUCUGCUGGUCUCAAUCAGAUUCACAACUAAAAUCCAAUCUCCACUUUGCAAAGGGUCUUUUGUCCCUUAAAUGCCUCGCGGCCAUUAGGGAUUCUGUCCUCAUAACAGGCUUGAUGAACAAUCAAUGCCUGGAGCACCUGUUCUAAAUGACAAUAUGCGUGUGUGUGCAAGUGAAAACUCUGGUUGGCUGUUAGCUGUUUGUCUGCGGGCUCCACCCUCAAUGUGCGACGGGUGCGGAGGUUUGCUUUUUGUCACAUGGUUAAUACUUGAUCUUGAUCCACACUUAAGUGUGCUGACCAGCUUCCUGCCUCUUUGCUUUUUGUGGUUCCAGUUCUAGUCAGAGAUUAGGAAACAGUUUUUUGAGGGUCUCUCUUGAGUACAGCAUACGGCCAAUUUAAAAAGCGGUCUCUAUCAGGUGUCUGUCAUUCCGCUCUCUCAUGUUGAGGAGGGAGCGAUAUUUGAAGUUUUGAGCUGAAAGUCUGACUAUGAGUCUAAAUAUCUCCCGCUCAGAUCUGUGUGAAGAAAAUUGGAAAACCUCCGACGUGAUCUGGCUUUUUUGAAGCGUCGGCAUUGAACGACCUGGACGGAGACGUUCGGCUCGAAGGGGAACCGCCAGCGGCGCUUCCAGCUUUUCUGCAGAAGAAAGAGAUGUUUGACGUAUUUCUGACAGGGUUUGAUGUAGUUUGAUGUAACAAACACCAGCUCAUCUCUGCACACGCUGUAGUCUGUUUACUCUUUACCCACCAGGUCCCGCUCUAAUGAGCUGUGCUCGGCCAUCUGCCCGGUCACAUGCUGGUAAUGCCCCCCCCCUGGGAGACGAACACUGUCUCAGUGGUCCGGCUGAGUAAACAUAUGUGGCUGAUUAGAAUAAGUGUGGUUCCGUUCUCUUGUGUCGCAGUGCAGCGAACUGGGACUGGGCCACAAUUAAUGUUGUUAAGUACACCUGUGUUGGGCCGGCAGUAAGAUGUUAAGAUGUCUACCAUUGACUCCCGUUCUGACGCCUGUCUCACACUUCAGAAGGUUCAACUUGCUGCCAUUGAGCUGACUGUGAUCUCAGUUGACGGUUGUUGACAGUUGAACACGCGGCUUCAGAACAUCCCACCAUUCCACCGCAAACAUCAUCCUCCCCUUCGCGUGCUUCUUACCUGGUGGGAACCGAGACAGAAAAGGUGCGUCUCCAUCUCCAGGUCCACAUCCUUCAGGGAUGCGCUGAGAUUCAUCCGUGUCCAGGAGCGCUAGCAGAGGUCGCCAGCAGAUGAGGCCCCCGGGUCCCCGAAGAGGAAGUUGACUAGGGGGGUUAAACGGAUAAUAUUUCUGUCCUCGUCUCUUCACCUUUCCCAGCAGACCUGCCUCGACGCCGCGGAGCCUCGUCCGCCCGACGCAAAAGACCUCUGCUCCACUUUUUCGAGAGUAGAUAUCAUUCAGAAUAAAUAAGUGGCUCAUUGGUAAAUCUCUGAGAUGACGCGACGAAGCUUCAUUCCCAAGUAGCCGUCCAAUAGAAGACCUUCUUCCAGUUAUUCGCACGCAGACUUCGUUUCUUUGGUUCUCUCCUUCACGCGGCGCUCGUCUCUGUGGCAGCCUGUCGCAGCCGCGUCGCUUUUCAUUCAUUCACCCUCAUUCACUCUACUUCAUGCUUCAUUUCAAUCAUCUGUGGACAUUCACUCACUUAUCCCUCGGUUAAUUUACUCAUUCAAUCAUGGAAUCAGUCUCACUCCAGCCUGUUGGCUCGAUGGCCGACACAUUAACCCAUGCGUUGGUUCACUUCCCGACUCAUUUAGCAGCUCAUCCAUUUCAAUCAGCCUCAGUUCACCCAUUCAUCGUCUGUGCUCUAUGCGUUUAGUCCUUCCACCUCGGUCACUGUCAUUCAUUCGCUCAUUCACUGGAGAUCUUGUUGAGCGGCUGUCAAAUCGCUGGAUGUGAGACAGUGAUUCUGCUCCGUUAACCCACUCGGACGGCUAAACAGACUGCAGAGCGAAGCCCCGUCAGUUACCAUGUAUCCAUGUGCACUAAGCGUGUGUGCCUGUGUGUGUGUGUGUGUGUGUGUGUGUGUUUAGCAGUACGCGAGCAGUGUACCAACAGCAGCUUGCCUCGUCUUUUGUCCGGGACGAGCUAAUGAAGAAAAUGGAGCGAACCGAGACUCGCUUCUGGAAGUUUACACAGAGAGACAGAAUUAUUCCGCCAUCGCCGGCUCUCGUGGAGCCACGUUUCUCUCCUCCGCGUUGCUCCGGGGAGUCGGGAAAUAUCCACGCAGGAGCUUCAGGAACAUGCUCGGCCUUCAGAAUAACAAUAGUGCGGAGAUGAAUUUGUGUGGUAAUAAUAUUCCAGUGUUGACAAUAACUUCCAUACUGGCAGACGUGUUCGCAUUUUGAAAUGAGGGCAAUCGCAUUUUAUUUUUGGAUAUAAAUGCAGUAAUUUAAGAACGUAAUUAAAGUCACUGUUCCCCCCCUCCUUCCUCUUUGCUUUCAUUAUCUUUUUCUCUCUACAUCUUCACCCUCCUCCUCUUCCUCCCUCUCUCCUCCACCUCUGAUUGGCAUCUGUCUUUUCGGAGUUUUUUCUUCUGUCCUUCUGUCCUCGACCUUCUUUCUGCUCACCCCCCCCCUUAAAGACGCCCCCCUGUAUUUCUCCUCCUUUGCCCCCCCCCCCCCCCCGACUCCUCCCUCUUGACCUUCUUUACCUCCUAUCUGUGUUUUCCUCAUCUCCCCGGUUGACAUCUCAUCCUCCCCUCCAUCUUUUCCGUCCCCCCUCCCCUCCUGGAUGACGGACCAUCUGGCCUCAGGCAGCCAUCUUUGAACGCUUCGUCACGGGACGCUGCUGAGGCGUCAGCAGCGAUUGGCUGAGAGGGCCCCCAGAAUUUUGGCUGUUCCCGCCUGAGAGACGAGACGAGGUACCGAGGCGCUCAACUCGGCAGAACGAGCCCGGAAACAGACGGACGGGCGGCGUUUCCGCGGUUCUCUGCUCCGCUGACUGACGUUCACGCGCUUUGGUUCGGAUUUAAGGGAAAUGAAACGACUUAAAUCCACAUGUUUUCAUCUGCGGAGAAGAGAGGACGGCUUUCGUGCAUUGUGGCUUUGUGGAACAGCAUCGGGUGCAGUAUGGAACAAAAACAAUUAGCAAACUGAAAACACAUGGAGUGAAAUGAGACUCGUUUGUGUGGACAUGCGAAGGACAUCUGCUCCGGCCUCGUCGCAGACAUCUGAAGCCACAGCCGAUCAGAUGUUCGGCUCCCUGAUGGCUCUUCUCCCGGUUUGAGAAACAAAUCACAGCUUUGUUGCAUGUCGGUUGGAUUAAACAACAUAACGUCGGAAAAGGGAAAAUAAUAAUACCGUGCGAGGACGAGAUCCAAGCAGCUACAGAGAUACGAUGCACGUUAUCGACCACAGGGGGACAUUUAGCUGAGGCAGUGCCGACGUCUCCUCAUACAACAGAUACAUUUUACAACACAUUUUACAAGCAAAAUAAACCCCUUAACUUCUCAGGAAACUCUUCUCUCUCGCUGCUUGGGGUAAAAUAACGGCGAGCAGCUACUGAGGUAUGCGUGUUGUGCUGGAUGGGGGCUGGUCCUCCAGCGAGAUAUAAUAUGAAUGUAUCCAUCAGGCUCACAGCGGUGAGCUCGCACAUCUUGUGGCUACCUGGGGCUUCCCCGCCAACACCGAACCUGCAGGUGAACCAACACAGUCCUUUUUCUUCUUCUGCUGCUUCGGCUGAAAGGAGUGAACUGAAAGUGACCCCCCCCCCCCCGCCCUCCUCACCCCCCCGACAGCCUCUGAGAGCAGCUGGCAAUGAUGGAGGGAAGGAUGAAGGAGAUAACAACUCUUCUAAUUAAGGACAAUGGCCCUCUGGAGAUGGGCACUGAUAUCUCUGGCUGUACUUUGUUCCCGAGCAUGUAGCCAAUCAGGGACACACGUUAACAACGACUGCGGGCGAAAUUCCCCUUCAAAGUUCACCACACGUCUGUGGAUGUAAAGAUGAGGGAGGAAACGGUUUUGAGUUAUUUUCGGGAGCUUGCUGCCAGCUUUGUCAUAAAAGAUUUUGCGUAACACCCAAUAUUUCCGUAACAUUUAUUAUUUCAUAACGGCCUUAAUGCAGAACCACUGUCUGCAGUCAGCCAAAACACAAGACGUGUCACGUCUUUGUUAGCCGAAACGAAAAACAUGCAACUGUGCAAUAGCAACACGCAACGGCAACGACCACAAGAAAUGUCCGUGUUUAGGCGGAAUACAUUCGCCAACAUCUGACGAGGGGACGAGGGGAGUAAAUGCAGCGGACUUUGAGAGAGGAAAACCGCACACGUCCGGCUCCGCAGCCAGAACCGCCGGACCGAACGUUAAGCUAACCGGGCUUGGACCUGAGGCCUCUCACCGCUACCCAGCAUGCUCCUGGAGGUCCGCUGUCCGGGCGCAGCAGCAAUAAGAUGGUUGAAAUAAGACUUCAGUCGAACCGUAAACCGUCAACCUCUACCUGCACGCAAACGUUUUAUUCUUCUCUUAGUUGUAAACAAACCCAAUGUGCUCCUGAACCAGAGGGCGUCCCUCCACAAAACACACUCUGACUCAACACAAUGCGUCAUUAAAACACGUCAUAUAUGUGUCAUGCGCAACAAUCUCUUCACCUUCACCACAACGAGUCUUUCCUCCAAUAUUUUUUACAUCUCUCCUUUAUUCAUAAAUCACUUCCUUGCCUUCGCUCCUCCUCCCUGGAGGAUCUUUUUCAGGAAUAUGCUGCCAGAAGACAAAUUAUAUAAAUAGACACGUGGCUGAAUCUUAUUUUAAGCGUUAUGUAAAGCAUGAUGAAUUGCCUGAUGUGCGAUAUAUCAAUAAACUUCCCCUCUGUCCACUUCCCUCCGUCUGUUAACUCCGUCUCGGCCUUUGUGAUCACAGAAACGAGUGGAGCACAUUACGUCCCUCCCCGUCAUCCCCACAGCGUCCAUCAGAUGUCCACACGUCUCAUUUCAGUCUUGUAUUGUGGGUUUAUGUCCACGAGCUGCGUGUCUCUGUGCGUACAGGAAAACGUGGAGUCAGUCUCGUACUUUCUUUGAAAAAAAGCACCGUAUUUACAUGUAACUACACUGACCUCAUUUCACUUCCAAAGGGGGAGAACGGAGGGAUGAAAGUGGAGCAGAGAGAGAGAGAGGGGGGGAGAGAGGGAGGCAAUAAAUCAUCCUCCACCUUCUGAGCUUUGCUUCUUGUUGUUGCUCUCCCCCAUUGUGAUGAAUCGCCCUUCUCUGGCAAAAGAAAGUAUAAAACAAGAAAAUGAAAGUAAUAAAAUGAGCGAAUGAAAGCGAAGGCCAUUUCACCCCCCGCUGCCUGGUCGUGCAGGACAGGGGGUCUCUCUGGGGGAUGAUGGGGGGGGGGGACGAGUGAGAGAACAGAGGGACGUGUUCUGCUCUUCCCGGAAGGACUUCAUGAGGCGUGAAGAGUUUUCGGAGAAGUUUCAUGGCCGCGGUUGUUCAUCACUCGCUUUCAAAGGUCCAUCCUUUCAUUUUCGUCUCCUUUUCAGCUUUAUAUUCUCCUCCUCUCAAUGCAGGAUGCCACACGGACACAUCUUAGUCCCUCUAACCAGAGAGACACGUUUCUCCUCAACCUGUUUUCAUAAUGGAGAUUAAGAAUAGAUCGCAUCUGAGUUUUUUUUGUGUCUGACCUUGACCUUUGACCUUGAGCUACCCACGCGGAGGUGGACGGGAAGGGAUUCCCCCGACGUGUUCCUGAGAUAUCUGGUUAAACAUAAAACAUAAAAGGCAACAUGCACAAACCACUGUGAGACCAGUGUGUCCCAAGAGAAACAAAAAUUCACAAAUCACUAACAAGCAGAGUUAUUUUGUGAACACGUUUCAUCCCGAUUAACGAGUAAAACCCACCUUUGUUUUGGCGAACCUGAGCUGGAAGUUUAUUUUGAAAAAACACACUCUCGACUCUUUCUGAAGGUAACAAACACUCAUCAUCUUGCUCUGCUCUACUCUCCACUUCCACCUGAGGACAUUGACAUGAACGAUCCCCGAGAGGCGGAAUAUUCUCUCCCGAAUGCAAAACCUGUAUUAUUGAACCUGAUUGGAGCCUUUGAGGCACAGACGUCCUCCGAGGCGCCGUAAUGUGAUUAGAUCGAGGCUUUGCUCUCAGUCAGCUCGCCGCUUUUUUAAUCAAAGUCGAGAUUACGAGCUUUUUAGAUGGCAUCAAAUGUGCCACGCUCGCUAACGGGAUAAUGGGGGUAAUAGCAGGCUUAAGGCAUCCCAAUUUCAAAUGGUAAUAUAACGGUACAGUGGGAACAAAACCGCACUUCAGGUGCAAAUGAGUCGGAGAGAAAAACUCGCUCGGGCUGAAAUAUCAAAGCAGCUCCGAGAAGAAGGAACCGUCUCGUGAAAAUGUUCUUGUUCUUCAACUUGGUCACUACGUGUGAGGAAAGUUAAAGGGGCACCAAGUUGAAUCCGAGUUCACAGUUCUAGUCCAAUAGUAGAACCCAAAUGCUCAUAAUUACAGCUCUUUUUGACGCUGAGUUGCCGGCUGCAGAUUUAAAGAAGCGUCUCCACCAAAGAGAAUGUGAGUACAUGUUGACCUCCGUCCUUUCUGUCUUUGUUUUUCUUCUUUGACUGUGAACUUGUCCCCGGGUCGAGUAGGUCUCCUACUGACUGUCCAUUCGCAUUUAAAAUGAAUUAUAUCUAAAUGUGGAAAUUCACUUUAUGACUGCCUUUCCUCUGUUAUUUAUGUACAUCUUAUUUGUCGUUCUAUGUCUCUAAACCCCAAAAAGUUUUGCUGGUCUUGAAGCAAAAACUAGAGAAAUAAGAUGGACCCUCAACGAAUGGUCACUCAGAACCGGUUGGUGAUGCCGGUCCAGAUUAAUUCAGUUGAUCUAGAAAAACGAGGGAGAGCACAGAAGUGGAUUCUGAAAGAAAAAAUAAUUCUAUAAUAAAUUGAAAAAUUGGAAAAAUUGUCAAAACUGUGAUCAUUGAGACUGAGAGGAUUCAAGGCGACUAACACCUGCACAAUAAUUGUAUUCUGUAGUAAUGUCUCACUUGAGAAAGAAAACGUCAAAGAAGGAAAAAUAACAAAAAGCAAAAGAGAGAAAAACACAAUGGGAAAAGCCGAUGAUGAAGGAGGAGAACCUGGAGGUCGGAGAGAAUAAAGAUUUGUUUACCUCCUCCGGGCCUUAAUGCGAGGAGGCUGGAGAACAGCCGCUGGUGAGCUCAGGUGAACGCACGCCACGGGGGAAAUAACACUCGCCUAAAUCAUGGAAAAGACAGAGGAGAGGAGGGAGUGAGGGAUGGAGAGAAAGAAGAAAGAGGGAAAGGAAGUGAGAGCAAACAAACAGGAUUUUCCACGAGAAACGAGGGAAAACGUUGAAUUAUACAGAGAAAAGUCGGGAGAAAAAUAAAAAAUUGAGUGAGGAAGAGAAAAAAAGAAAAAGGAGAACAAUGCAGGAGGUGAGUAAGAGAAUAACAAGGGGAAAAAAGGAAAACAAGGACCAUCAAAAGAUGCAGAGACACAAAGACACAGAGAUGAAUCCCAAAGUAAGCAGAGAAAGGCAAAGACGCAGAGAAGCCGAAAACAACGAAGGAAGCGAGUAUCGCUGUGUGAGGAGGGAGAGGCGGUGCAGACUCAGACUGGUGGAGUCUGCAGGGUGCACAGGCCUUUGUUAACGAUGGUGUUGAUUAACAGCGAGUGUGUGACGUGCCGAUGCAGCAGCUGUCAUGGACGUUUAUCGCCUUUCUCUCCUCACGUUCCUGCUCAUUUAUCUGUUUCGCUUCUUGCAAUCGUGAUUUGCAAACUGCUGAGGCGCUUUGCCCUGGAGAGUCCAGCAGAAGAACCCAGAGGCCUUGAGGUACGACCUCCGACCCUCGGCUAUGCAUUUGGGAGGGCGGAGCGUUGGGAGGGCGGAGUGAUUGGGAGGGCGGAGCGUUGGGAGGGCGGAGUGAUUGGGAAGGUGGUGCGUUGGGAGGGCGGAGCGUUUGGGAAGCCGGAGCGUUGGGAGGGUGCAGCGUUGGGAGGGCGGAGCGUUUGGAAAGGCAGAGCGUUGAGAGGGCGGAGUGUUUGGAAAGGCAGAGCGUUGAGAGGGCGGAGUGUUUGGAAAGGCAGAGCGUUGAGAGGGCGGAGUGUUUGGGAGGGCAGAGUGUUUGGGAAGGCGGUGCGUUGGGAGGGCGGAGUGAUUGGGAGGGCGGUGCGUUGGGAGGGCGGAGUGAUUGGGAGGGCGGAGCGUUGGGA
ensembl:lncRNA